AUGUGAACUCCACUCGGCAACAUGGUGCCACAGAGCUGCUGGGCCAUGUACUUACCUAAGACAAAUCUUCUUCUCUUGCCCAUUAAACUAGCUCAUUAUUCCCACAACUUGGCCUAGAGAGAUCUGGACUAAGACUCUGAGAACUCUGCCAGCCACUGGUAA
rfam:Ictidomys tridecemlineatus contig091558, whole genome shotgun sequence.